UUCACACACAGGCAGAGGAUGCUUGGAUGUCAUUGUCCUACAGUCGAUGUUGGACCUAAAAACUUUUAAAGUACAAACAAACUCUUUUUUUUCUUUCUCUAACUGGCUUUUUCUCUCUCAUACAGGUGGACAAGUAGACAAGACCGACCACCUGAAUUCAGCGGCUUGCCCCCCCUCAGUGUGUUUCUUGCUUGGUGCCUAUAGGGCCCCUGCAGCGAGUCAGUCUCUACAGUUUCACUCCCCAGGGACAUGGAGAGACCCAUGGGCCCAAAGAGAGAGAGACAGAGAAAGAGAGAGAGAGCUCCCCUGGGGGGGGCGCUCCAGCCAAUAACCCCUGCUGGACCGCUCUCAUCGGGAGCCCACACGGUCGUGAUUGUCCACCUCCCUCCCUAUCAAGCCUCCCAAUCCAUACAGAGAUAUAUAGCUGGUUCCAUUGUUUUCCAGGCUGUAUCUUCCCCCUGCUGUAUUGAAAAAUGCUCUUCCAAAAUUGUCUCUCUUUCUCUCUUUGCCUCUAUUUUUUCAGAAAGAGAAAUACUGUAAUGGAUGUAAUAUGGGAUACCGGAUACCAGCAGUGAAGUCCAGCAAUCAAGGAAGAUUAUUGUAUAUUUGGUGUACAAUAUAUACUUUUUAUCAUUGCAGAAAUUAAAAAAAUUAUAUUUCUAAAGGAGGGCCCUCUUUAAAUCUGUAUUGGCUUUCUACACAAGAAUGGUCACAAUGUUUUUCUAUAAAUUACAAAAUGAAUAUGCCUUUUAACGCAUUCAAUUUCGAGCACUUUCUACAUUUUGUCUAUGCUGUACUAUGCUGCUCUACUAUGUUUACUAAAAAUCAUAUACAUUUUUAAAUUUGUCAUAUUGUUACAAUUUCAAUAUUUAUCUUCUGCAAAAUGUAUAAAUUACUGUUAGAGUAGGGACUAUACUAUUUAUGAAUUUGCUCAUGAUGGCAAAUGUGCUUUUCAUCUGUUGUCCAUUUGUUAAUAUAUGGACAUCUUUUACAUUACCUGGUAUUUUAUUACAAUUCUUCCUGCGAUCAUUAAUGUAUGAAAUGUAAAUGCAAAAUUAAGAAGUUAAUAAAAAGUUGCAACCUU